rnacentral:rRNA from 1 species
AGUGAACGCUGGCGGUAGGCCUAACACAUGCAAGUCGAACGGCAGCACAGUAAGAGCUUGCUCUUACGGGUGGCGAGUGGCGGACGGGUGAGGAAUACAUCGGACUCUACUUUUUCGUGGGGGAUAACGUAGGGAAACUUACGCUAAUACCGCAUACGACCUACGGGUGAAAGCAGGGGAUCUUCGGACCUUGCGCGAUUGAAUGAGCCGAUGUCGGAUUAGCUAGUUGGCGGGGUAAUGGCCCACCAAGGCGACGAUCCGUAGCUGGUCUGAGAGGAUGAUCAGCCACGCUGGAACUGAGACACGGUCCAGACGCCUACGGGAGGCAGCAGUGGGGAAUACUGGACAAUGGGCGCAAGCCUGAUCCAGCCAUACCGCGUGGGUGAAGAAGGCCUUCGGGUUGUAAAGCCCUUUUGUUGGGAAAGAAAAGCAGCAGGUUAAUACCCCGCUGUUCUGACGGUACCCAAAGAAUAAGCACCGGCUAACUUCGUG